rnacentral:rRNA from 1 species
UACGGGGGGGGCAAGCGUUGUUCGGAAUUACUGGGCGUAAAGGGCGCGUAGGCGGGUGGACAAGUCUCUCGUGAAAGCCCACGGCUCAACCGUGGAAUUGCGGGAGAUACUGUCUGUCUUGAGUCCGGGAGAGGAGGGUGGAAUUCCCAGUGUAGCGGUGAAAUGCGUAGAUAUUGGGAGGAACACCGGUGGCGAAGGCGGCUCUCUGGACCGGUAAUGACUUUGAGGCGCGAAAGCUAGGGGAGCAAACGGG